AUAUAUAGAGGGCUUCUCUAUUCACUUGUACAAAAACAUAAAAAAGAAAACUAUAAGGGUGCGUUUGGUUCGCGCUAUCUUUUAAAGAUUCCUAGUAAUCCAAUGGGAAUCAAAAAUUAUGACGGUGUUUGGCUAAACGACUAAGUAAUCUAGUUGGUAAUAUUGGAUUCAUUUGGGAAUAAGAUUGACCCCAAAGUACUAAUCUCAUUCCCUUGAGGGAGGGUGGGUAUCCUCAUAUUAAUAGAUUGGGGUAAUCAUAAUAUGUCUAAUCUCUUUCUUUCUUCCUAUCCGCCGGCUAAUUGAUAUUAUUUGUCUUUACACUCUAACCUUAUCUCUCUCUAAACUUAUUUUUCUCUCUAAAAUUCAACUUUUUUUUCUCUCUCUAAACUAAGCUUUCUCUCUCUCUCUCUCUCUCUCUCUCUCUCUCUUUCUAAAAUUUCAACUCUCUCACUCCCUCUAAUUUUGACUAUAUUUUUCUUUCUAUUUUUUUAAUUAUACUCUCUCUCUCUCACUUAUACUUUCUCUUCCUUUUUUCUAAAAAGAUGUUGAAACUUUUGGUAACAUUAUCUAAAAUUAAUUAAAUAAAUAAAUUAAUUAAUUGUAUAUUUUUUGUAAUAUUAAAUAACAUGGCUAAUUAAUAUUACCGUGCGAACCAAACACAGGAAUUCCACAUUCUUAGUAAUAGGAUGAAUAGGAAUAAGAUUCUCGGAUAUCUUUUAUUCCUAGUAAUCUUUCAUAAUGCGAACCAAACGCACCCUAAUAUCUAUAUUCUACUUGAGAGAGAGAAGGUCAAAGAAAGGUGUUCUUUUGGUGGAGCUUUGGGCUCACCUACUUGUGCAGAGUUGGUGAAGCCACACGACGAGGGUCGAGCCGUUGUAUCCUGGAGGGGACAAGUCGGUGCUCUGCUGCAUCGGUUCAAAGGCUUUGCCAACCGCAGAGGGCUUGAAUCUCCUUAAAGAGAGCGAGAUAUCCGUGCCUCGGCUUGAUCGACUCGUUGAUAUUUUUUAAAAUUAUUUUGUAGCUAACCUCUAUUUUUUGAAUAUUUACACCAACAUCAAUCUUUAUUUUUUUUUUUAAUUGUGAAUUUGUUCUUUUUACAUAUUAUUUUAUAUUGUUACGGUAUAUAAAAAUACAAUAACUAAGUACAAUUAGUGAUUUUUAUUUACUUAUACUUGAUUAGCAUUGUUAUUUGUGGUUAUUAUUAUUUUUUAUUUUUUAUUUUUGUUGGCCAUUUACAUAUGAUUAAUUUUAUAUAAUUUGUAAGAAACUAAUAUAUUUAUCACUAAUUUUUUUGUUAGUGAAUAUGAUUUUUUUUUAAAUUUUUUUUUAUAUAUUGAUUCUAUGCGAGAAAAUUUUUCGAUCCCCCUCUNGAGAGAGGGGGGGGAGAGAGGGGGAGAGAGAAUGGGGGGGUUGCGUAGGGUCCCACCGAAGCCCCGUGAAACGCGGGAAGGCUUUGGAGGGACUCUCGAUUAAAUAGAUCUAUAGAUUCCACCCUAGGAUGGGUGGGUGUAUAUCAUACCGUCAAAAAUGUACUGCUACAUAUGGUAGACCUUUUCAUUAUAUAAAGAGACUGCUGCAGAUACUCCCAAGUGUAUUCUAUGAUAUAUUGAUCGAUGAUAGGACAAUAUCAUUUUUAUUAUGCUCUAAUAUUAAUUACUAAAUGCUAAACAUCGUUGAAUUCUAAACACUAUCUUUAUAUCUGAAAUACUAAAUUCGAAUCUGUUCACGUGUAUAUACCAACACAUUAAUAGUAUAAUAAGAUACCCAAACGUGGGAUACUCAAUAUUUCUCUUAUAAUAAUUAGCCCUGCAUAUUAGAUAAACAAUUUAAUUAAUUAAUUAAUUAAUGUAUAGAAAUUUGGUAAAGUCAUAUGAUGCAUGAAAAUCUUUUUUUUUUAGACAAAAAUAACAUACUAUCCAUUUCAUUUUUUUUUAAAUAAUAAAUUUAGUUGAUAAUUAAAAUAAAUAAAUUUUGAACUUAAAACUUUGGAUACAAAUUACCAACUCUUUUAUCACUUAGACUGGAGACCAUUGGUGGAUCCAUGUACAUCCCAAUAGGUCCAUUAAUUGACCCCACUGGGAUGAUGUAAAAAGCCAUCUUUUGUGGGCCCCAAUUGAAAAAAAAUUCUUUAGUUGGUUUUUUUUUUAGAGAUAAUUGUUUAUAUACCUUUCAAAAUUUCAAAAAUAUCUAAUUUAUUUAAUUUUUUUUCUAAUAUACUUCUCAUAUAUUCUCCUGUAAUUCAAAAAUAUCCCCGCAGUUACCCACCAUUAAGUUAUCUCGGGUUAAACAUAAGUUAAAUAUUUAUCAGAAUUAAAAAAAAUCAAAAUGUCUUUUUUAUUUGUCCUUAGCUUAAGGGCAAAUAAGAAAAGCUGGUGAUUGUAGAAUGGUGUAUUUGAAAAAAUUAAAAUUAAAAUACUUUUUUGUCUCUAACUUAAGGGCAAAUAAAAAAAAAAAGUUGGUAAUAAUAGAAAGUUAUAUUUAAAAAGACAAAAUAGUAAUUUAAUUUUAAUUUUUUCAAAUACACCAUUCUACAAUCACCAACUUUUCUUAUUUGCACUUAAGCUAAGGACAAAUAAAAAAGACAUUUUGAUUUUUUUUAACUCUGAUAAAUAUUUAACUUAUGUUUAACCCGAGAUAACUUAAUGGUGGGUAACUGCGGGNUUGGUGAAGCCACACGACGAGGGUCGAGCCGUUGUAUCCUGGAGGGGACAAGUCGGUGCUCUGCUGCAUCGGUUCAAAGGCUUUGCCAACCGCAGAGGGCUUGAAUCUCCUUAAAGAGAGCGAGAUAUCCGUGCCUCGGCUUGAUCGACUCGUUGAUAUUUUUUAAAAUUAUUUUGUAGCUAACCUCUAUUUUUUGAAUAUUUACACCAACAUCAAUCUUUA
rnacentral:lncRNA from 1 species